rnacentral:rRNA from 1 species
UACGAAGGGGGCUAGCGUUGUUCGGAAUUACUGGGCGUAAAGCGCACGUAGGCGGAUAUUUAAGUCAGGGGUGAAAUCCCAGGGCUCAACCCUGGAAUUGCCUUUGAUACUGGACGUCUCGAGUUCGGGAGAGGUGAGUGGAAUUCCGAGUGUAGAGGUGAAAUUCGUAGAUAUUCGGAGGAACACCAGAAGCGAAGGCGGCUCACUGGCCCGAUACUGACGCUGAGGCGCGAAAGCGUGGGGAGCAAACAGG